UACGUAGGGUGCGAGCGUUAAUCGGAAUUACUGGGCGUAAAGUGUGCGCAGGCGGCUUGGCAAGUCGAGUGUGAAAUCCCCGGGCUUAACUUGGGAAUUGCGCUCGAAACUACGUGGCUGGAGUGUGGCAGAGGAAGGUGGAAUUCCACGUGUAGCGGUGAAAUGCGUAGAGAUGUGGAGGAACACCAAUGGCGAAGGCAGCCUUCUGGGCCAACACUGACGCUCAUGCACGAAAGCGUGGGGAGCAAACAGG
rnacentral:rRNA from 1 species